rnacentral:rRNA from 1 species
AUGGCGCCCGCCACCACCUCCACCACCAACACCACCACCACCACCAGGCCCACCAGCAAGAAGCUGCGUGUCCUGCUCAUUCCCUUCUUCGCGACUAGCCACAUCGAGCCUUUCGCCGAGCUUGCCAUUCGCCUCGCCGCGUCUAGGCCGAACGCCGCCGUCGAAGCAACUGUUGCGGUCACGCCGGCAAACGCCUCGAUCGUCCAGUCCUUGCUGGAGCGACGGCGACGAGACGGUCAUAAUGCAGCAGCAACUGUCAAGGUAGUUACGUAUCCGUUCCCCACGGUGGACGGCCUCCCCGAGGGCGUCGAGAACCUCGGAAAGGCGGCCACACCGACCGAUUUAGCUCGUAUCAACCUCGCUGCCCUAAGCGAGGCCCUGAUGCGCCCCGCGCAGGAGGCGCUCAUCCGGGCGCACUCCCCGGACGCGAUCUUCACCGACCUGCACUUCACCUGGAGCACCGACAUCGCCGACAAGUUGGGUGUGCCAUGUGUUGCCUUCAAUGUCAUGGGUGCCUUCCCGAUGCUCGCCGUGCGCCACCUCGUCAUGGGAGACGUCGCCAUCGACCACGAUGGCGCCGCGACGGUCCCUUGCUUUCCAGCUCCUCGUAUACGGAUCCCCAGGGCCGAGCUGCCGGACUUCUUGAGGCGGCGAGACUACGGCGCCAGCAACCAGGUUCAUGCGAUGCAGGCUGGCUGCUUCGGUCUCGCGAUCAAUACAUUUGCGGACCUGGAGCGGCAUUACUGCGAGAUAUACGUGCGCCAAGGGUACGUGAAGCGUGCAUACUUUCUAGGUCCUCUCUCGCUGCAACACCAACCAUCGCAGACCACCACGGCUUCACGGUACAUUAAUUGGCUUGACACAAAGCCGAACCAUUCGGUGGUGUACUUGGCCUUCGGAAGCUUGGCCCACGUCUCGGAUGCUCAGCUGGACAAGCUUGCUCUUGGCCUGGAGGCCUCAGGCAAGUCGUUCAUGUGGGUCGUCAGGGCGGCGGAGAGGUGGACUCCACCGGAAGGGUGGGAGAAGCGUGUCGAGGACCGGGGAAUCAUCAUCAGAGCCUGGGCUCCACAGACGGCAAUACUAGCGCACUCGGCAGUGGGUGCAUUCGUGACGCAGUGUGGGUGGAACUCCAUCCUAGAGGCAGUGGUUGCGGGCGUGCCCAUGCUCACAUGGCCCAAGGUGUAUGAGCAGUUCAUCACCGAGAGGCUGGUGACGGAGGUACUAAGGAUUGGGGAGCGUCUAUGGCCGCAUGGUGCCGGUUUACGGAGCGAGAACUACCAGAAACAUGAUGUAAUACCGGCAGACGAUGUGGCGCGGGCAUUGAUCAUGUUCAUGCAUCCUGGAGGAUCGGGGGAGAUAGCGAGGAGGAGGAUAAAAGACCUCGCAUCUAAGUCUCGUGCAACCAUGGCAGAAGGAGGCUCCUCGCACAAUGAUUUGCACCGUUUGGUCGAUGAUCUCAUGGCAGCAAGUGGAGCUUCAUCUUUCUCUCGCCUCUGA